rnacentral:lncRNA from 1 species
AGCGUUGUACGGAGGCGUCGGUAAAAACGAGAGACGCCACUCGAGGGGGUGGGAAAUCGAAUGUAUUCGCGCGUUCUGAAACGUCACGGACCGAACAUCACGCUCGGAUGUCUCCGCGAUAUCGCUCGAUAGCUUUCGGGGCAUCUCGGCUGCGUUCGCUGUCGGUAGUGUCAGAGGGGGGAUUUAGUCCGUGAUUCGAUUCAGUGCUCGUAGGUCCGCGCAACAGUUCAGAUCGCAUCGUGUAACAGGGGGAAGUCGUACCCUCUAAUUGGAGAAGUUAGUGGUGAGCUAAACCAGAUAAACCGAUACAAGUGCGCCGCGAGAUAAACCGGCUUGGCCUUCGUAAUUGGCCGAAUCGAAAAGUGAAGAACCUUCUCGUACACCGUAGACGGAUCAUCCGAGUUCCUCGAACGAUCGCCGAUUUCGAACAGAUAGAAACAUCGUUCCUAUCGCACGAAGAUCCAGAAAACAGCUGACCCGAGAGCGAAGGUUACCAGCCAUGGAAUAUAAUUAGUACGCCGCUUACGGAACGGCAGGCCAGCUAUGGGUCCACUGAAAACAAGCUGCAACGAGACACAGGCACACUCGGCAGUAGUACUUGGAAAUCGGCCUUUGUGCGAACACGUGCGAGCCCAUGGACGACCGUGUUUCCUUCUCGAACGGGCCUCCUUCUUUCCUCCUGCACGACCACGAAAGGAACGCGUGGAAAUGCCCGGCGGACGAGCGGAAAAACUUUCAAGGGGAGCCAGCUUUUUCCGCGAACGUUUGACGCGCGAAGGCCUUCCUGUUGCUUCCUUUAUUGGACCAUCGCAUCGGGACGGUUUCAUUUAAUCGCUGCCAAGCCAUGACGCAGGAUUUUCAACGUACCGUGUAACGUACUCGAAGUACGUAACGAUUGUGCGCGCGUAUAAUUAACCGUGCAUUAAAAGCAUUUGCAUCAGAGGCGGAUAUAUCGGUCGAUUUCGUUGGAUCGUUGUCCGUGAAGGCGAACGUCGACGCGUUAAAGUAUCAAUUUCCACUGGACAUCGUUCGAAGGAAAGGAUUCGGCGGAAAAUUCGAGUGCUCUGUCGAUGCAAAUGGAUUAAGAUCGUCGAAAGAUUUAAGAAACAACGAAAGAUCGUCCAAUUAACUUUUCGCUUUUAAUUGAAUCUUAUAUUCCCUUUCUCGCUCGGUUCGCCCAGUUUCGUCGGGGUUCUCUCCAGUUAAUCGUAAAAGUCAAAAGUUUGCUCGAGUAGCUUCGACAAAGGUAAUUGAAAUCUCGAGUACGCGAGACGAUUAAUUGCGGCAGAGACGACGAGCGGAACAUUUCGGCGCUCGGUCGGUUUCUUCGACAGCUUGCAAAUUGCCGCGUCGAGUGGCACCGCGAAUAUCGUGUAAACGGGGACUGUUGGCGAAUGCUCGUCGAGACACGGGGUAUUCUUUCAAAUUUUUCAGACAAUUCGUUCCCCGCUGGAUGAGAAGGUCUGCGGUGGAGAAGAAGGAAGAAGGAGAAACGGACGAAGGAGAAGAAGAAGUUGAAGAAGAAGAAGAAGAAGCAAUUCCUUCGGACGUCGAGACGAAGAGACGACGCGGGAGCGUGCGGAGCAGCGAAAUCGAAAAGCGGCAGCGGCAUCGGCAUCGUGGCCCAGGGUGUCGUCUCCUAGAGCAUCUUUAGGCACAGCAGACGCACGAAGCGCGCGCAAAAGAGACGAACGAGAGAGGACGAGGGCGUCCAGUGGUCGCUACGAGCGAGAGAGAAAGAGGGGAAGAAACGGCGCGGCGUGGAGCGACCACCGGGAAAGAGAGGGAAAUUCAAAGAUGGCGCCACGCGUGUAAUCGCGAGAGAGAGGGGUGCGAACGUGCGACGAAGACGAGGAUUCUUCCCCUCUCGCUUCGAGCGCGAGCGGCCGAACCGAAACGUCCGAAUCCGAUCGUCGAAUGGCUCAGUAGUGCGCGAGACACAUUUCGCGUAGCGUGUUUCGCCGAAAAGUCGGUGUUUGCCGAUGAUUCACGAACGUUGCGACGAAACCGUCAGAGGAUACGCGGCGGACCAAUCCCUGGUUCCGUUACAUCAGCAUCCGACUCCGUGGGUUCUCGACGAUUGGUUCUCGUCGCGAUGCGUUCGUUCAUGUUUCGUCCGUCGUCGUCGUCGUCUCGAGUGCUGCUGGCUGGCUCGUGUAUCCUUCUGACUUUCCUUCGACCGGUACGACGCGCGAUCUAGUGUGCGUAAUCGUGUGCUUCCUAGGCGAAAGGUUUUCGAGAGAAUGUACCGGGACGCGACGUGCCCCGCGAAGCGACCGAUCAACAUCCCGCGAGAGAAAGAAAGACGGGGAGAAGGAGAGAAGACACGUAGGGUAUUUUGGACGCAGAUCGAUCAGUCGCAGCCGCUCUCCGGUUCGCGCCAUGUGACCGGUCAAAGACCAGUCUGUCCGGGAUUGGAGGUUAGAAAGAAAGAUUUGUAGAGGGACAGUGUCAGUAGCGCGCGAGCAGCGAUCGUAGAGUGGUCUGGUCGGGUGUCGCGAGGAGUGCGUUCUUCGACGUGUAGCGCGUAUGGCGGGUUUGAAGCUCGGUCAAGAGGGGAAAGAGAGACUCGAGUGCCGCGAAUGUCGUUCUCUGGGGUCAGAUGUAAAAAUAAAAGGAAGCAGACGUGUCUCAAGGCUAUCGGACCGCAUAUUGUCUCGGGCAGUAGCGUAAAAUCACGCGGUCGUCUCCCUGCUUAUCGUUUCUUCCCGUGUUGUCUAAUGUCUGUGCGCGCGCGCCCUUCUGUUUCUCCUCCGUAAACGCGAUGCGCUCUACCGACAAUAACGUAACGCUGAUUUAAGGAAAAAGAUGAGAAAUUACGCGGACGUUGCUUCGUACGAUUCCUCGAUAACGUCGACGCGACCGUACGCCACGCUGGUUCGUUAUCGUGAACGCUUAAAACCGUCGUGUCUAUUUUUACGGCGUGUCGAUACAACGAACCGCUUAAUUGCUUCGUUGAUAAAUCUUGCCGGACGCGGUGGACCUGUAAUCGGUCAACUUUUUCCUUAGUUUUUUGGUACGCUUUCCUAAUUCCGCUUCACGGAGUUGCUUUUGUUUCACCGUUUGAAAGAAAAGAACGCUGCGACUGUUGCGAAUUAAACAAAAGAAAUCGUACAGGCGUAAAAUUCCAUAGAAUAAAUCCGAGUUUCUAUAUUUUCCUUCGACGCGUAAUUAGAAUUUUAUCGAACGAUCGUAAAAGGUUAACACUUACGUGCUCUACGUUUUUUAAGCGCAGCAUAGUAUUUACCGUUUUUACAAGAAAAUUACAGUCUCGUUUUCCGUAAACUUUGUAGCACGUGCGUGUCGCAGUUAACCACGUGUUUACAUUGCGGCUGAUCGUUCCGAGCCUUGUUCGAUCUUGAGUCUAUUCCUCGUUGAUGAAUCUGUAAACGGUUCAAUCUGUAUCAUUUUGUAUCUACCGUGUGUUUGCAACGAGUCGAAAACGAUUUAUUUAACGUCGUUCUCUGAUGGAAGUGGAAAGUCCCCGUCCGUAAGAAGAAUAUAAGCCGAAAAUUAAUCCAAAGAUUAUAAGGCUGCGCGUAUUAAUUAUAAAACAGUCCUGGAACGUUGGGAGAUCGAGAAGCCUUCAGCAAUUGUACAUCGUAUUCGUCUACGAUAGAUAACGUGUACUUAUCUAGGAAACCGAGAUUCGCCUACAAAAACUUGAGCUAUUUCAGAUUAAUUCGAGUCGUUUUGAAACAGUUGCGUGGAGAUUGAUACGACAUUGUUGAAACGUUUCUACGAGGCAAGAUGUACAAAGCGUGUCCAGCGUACUACGUAAUCGGAAAUACUUUCAUGUUCGCAGUUUAAAACCGUUCAAAUCAGCGAGAAAAUUGAAGCCCGACGAAGUGAAUAAAGUGGAUCACGUUCGACUACUGAUUUCUGAAUUCACUGCCGUUGCAAAGCAACAACGUCAUUGAAAUCGAUAUCAAUUAAGCCACGCUGAUCGUACACGUUGGAAACCCCAUAAAGGGUAACCCCGUUAACGCCUUGACUGUCGCGAGGGUCACCGGUGACAGGUGCCACAAAUUUAAUAUUGCAAAUUUAAUUGAACGAUAAAAAAUGGAGAAAGAAUUUGGAACAUUGCACCGUAUUCUGGCAGCCAGCGCGUUAUCGCCCCGACAGAGCAACAUUAAACGAGCUUAAUCCUUAGGAACGAAUUCGAAGUCUGCGAAUACCUUUGGUAAUACUUUAGUAACGUAAGCACGAAAUUCGUGAGGGUCCGUUUCACGAUUGUCAUCUGGAAGGAUUCCAAUACUUUUUAAGAAUUAAACGCCGCGUUCGCGCAUCUCUUGUAAGCAUCCAAGACGAAAAGCUAACGAGUCUGGACCAAGGUUAGAAGAUAGCGCGUGUUGUAUAAUAGCCACACGAGCUUGAUUCAGGGCCGUGUAAAGUCGGGAACACGCGAGGGGCGACACGGUCUAUUUUUAUCCAUAGCUUGGAUACGGAAAAUGUAAAAGCGUGAAGAUUCCAAGGAUAGCAGAAUGUCGUUGGACUGACAAUUAAACAGACCUGAAUGCUGUUUUUAAGCAAGGUCCUGAAUUAUUGUUCCGUUUGAAACAAUUAGGACCAACCAAUUGUAGUAAAUACCAUUAAUCAACGAAAUUGUAUCUAAGCUCGUGAUCCACCAAUUGUUUCGAACAAUGAUGCGUACCUAUUCUUGCGUCUUGUAUGCAGCCUCUAUUACGUUGCAAGAAUUAUUGUUAACAACAUCGUAGGGCAUUGAUCGGUUUUCUAAAGGGUACCGUAUUCCCGAGUUUACCGACGCGUCUCGUUAACAAAGCGAUUCGUUUCGUAUCUCGUAUUGUCAUUCCACGUUGAGUUUCAUUUGUAAAUGGCACGGGAAACGCAAACGAGAUCACCGGCUAUUUUCCAUAAACUACAUUGCCAGUCGGUUGGAAAUGAAAAGAAGUCUUUAACCUACGCGAUGCGUGGAUUUAUCGAAAUGGCUUAUCGAUAUAGGAAAGCCGUUGGUAUUUACAGAGUAACAGAUAAUUCGGGUUACGUUUC